UCAACUAUGAUCAAAUAAAGGAUUCGGUUAUGUCAUAUCCAGCCAAGAGAUCUUCUCCAGUCGAUAAGGCCACAUCCUUAAUGAAACAACCAGUUCUGGAUAGCCUUUCUUCAACGGAUUAGAAACUGUCAAUGAGGAUAGACUUUAAGUCUUGAGUCUGGCUGUUCGGAGGUCUUCAAACUUUAAAUAGCAGAGUCUGCAAGC
rnacentral:lncRNA from 1 species